CUGGUCCUAAGGAGCUGCUCCCUGCGGGGCUCAAGGCAGGAUGUCGAUAGAGCUGAGCAGGAGGGGGCGCUGGGAGGUAGGUGGGGCUGCAGCUGUGGCUGGGAGCACAGGAACCUCGUUGGACUUGACUGUGGGGCAGUGAGGGUGGUGUGGGAAUCUAAUGUUGAUUCUGCAUCUAGAACAAGGUAAGAAUGUUUUAUCUCAAGGUCUCUGUGUGUAUGUGAAACUAUUUGUGGUUAUUAAAAAUUAAUAAAGUCAUAGGAACAAAGACGGCAGCUCAUUUCUGUCCAGCCAUCUGAAAUAGAACUACUGAUUUUUGGUGCUGGACAAACAAGACCUGAGUAAUAAAGGAUCCAAAGAGGAGAAGUUAAAAUAGUUAACAAUAUACCUGUAUGUAUGUAUGUAUGUAUAUGUAUGUAUGUAUAUAUAUAUAUGUGUGUGUGUGUGUAUAUAUAUACACACAAUGUUUUGUUGCACACACUGUAAAAAUAUACGAGUGGUGAAAUACCUAAGGAUGAGCCUGAAGAGACAUCAGGAAGGACUGGAAUCCCUGGCCUCCCCCCACCCCCGCCUCGGGGCUCUUUGUUUAACAAAGUGUCCUUUGGACAGAAUGGAAGCUUUGAAGGGAAUCAACAUAUCAAGAGGAUAUUGAUAUGUAGGAGGCUCAUCCUGCUUUCCUCUCUCUGUGUCCUCUCUGCAGCCCUAUCCGCAUCACGCUGGGCCUCCACCUCCACAUGCUCAUGGCCCCUGGGAUGCCUGGCAUGAUCCUCCAUGGGAGCACCAGCACUGGAGAGCCAGGGGAAGGAUGCAUCUGCCUGGUCCCAGGCAGCCCAGGCCUUUCCCUGGCCCUGCUGACAUCCACUGGAAUGAAGAGAACUGGGAAUGGGACCCCCAGGACUGUGAAGAGCCGCCGCCUCCAUGGAUGGAAAGAGAGGAUCACCACGGCCAUGAGGAAAUGUUUGUCAAGGACUUGCAGCUGGAUGCUCCUCAAGGACGUGCUUUGUUCCCAGGCUGGUGGUUCCUGGCCCUGCAGACCUCUUCUUUCUCUGUAUUGUUAUAACCUGGUCAUGUUUAUGGCUGCUUUUGUCACUAAGCCUAAUGAGGACUCACUGAAGACCUCCUCUGUGCAGGGAUCAAGGCUAGGGCAACACUUUAGCAAGAUGUCCUCAAAGCGGUUCUGCAGGAGGGGGCCCCGGGCCUUUCCCUGGGAGCCCUAUCCGCGUCACGCUGGGCCUCCACCUCCACAUGCUCAUGGCCCCUGGGAUGCCUGGCAUGAUCCUCCAUGGGAGCACCAGCACUGGAGAGCCAGGGGAAGGAUGCAUCUGCCUGGUCCCAGGCAGCCCAGGCCUUUCCCUGGCCCUGCUGACAUCCACUGGAAUGAAGAGAACUGGGGAUGGGACCCCCAGGACUGUGAAGAGCCGCCGCCUCCAUGGAUGGAAAGAGAGGAUCACCACGGCCAUGAGGAAAUGUUUGUCAAGGACUUGCAGCCGAUACCACAGCUGCGUCACUGGGACUUCUUUGCCCAGCCUGAGUUCCCCGGCCAGGAGCACCAUCCUGCUGAAUUCCUAUGGGAGCAAGAAGUCUUCCAGGACAACUUCUCACCCCAGCACCAUCGUGGCCCACGCCAGAAACGCUGCCGGCUCCUUCGGCCCAUCCAGCAGAGACAGCAUCCGCACAGCCAGUUCUCACCCCAGAGCUCUCAAGGACACCAUCCAUCCUCCAAACCCUCUCAGUCGAGCUCCCCAGCCAGCCAGCCAGGUGUUAAAGAGCACCUUGGUGCUCCCCAGUCACCUACUGCCUGCAAAAAGAGUCUGCAAAGCGAGAAGCAGGUGGAUGAGGGCCUGCUGGCGGCAAACAGCCAGGUGCUGGAACAGCCUGGGCAUGCAGAGAAAAGCCCAGAGAAGAGCCCAGAGACAAGCCCAGGCACUGACCCCCAGGAAGUGGAGCAGGAGCCAGCAGCAGAAUCAAAGCCAGUUGAGCCAGAAGUUGGAGAGGAAGUUGCAAGCAACCAGCAGCCCUCUGCAUCGGAACUGGAGCCAGUCUCACCAGAGAUGACCAGCACCAAGGAGGAUGAAGGCUUGGAGCUGAUUCCACUGGAGGCUACUGCAGAGCCCAGCACACAGCCCAGCACGGCCAGCUCCAGUGUCUGCACUGAGGCAGCAGCACCAGCCGGGACCGGGCAGCAUCCUUGGGGUUGGACAGAGCUGGCUGCAGGCUUCCAGAGCUUACCCCACCCCCUGCACUCCACACAUUCCCCCACCAGCACAGACCCGCGCUCUGCUGCCAUCCUCACCAAGAAGGAGAGCAUCGAGCAGGGAUACCACGACUUCUGCCUGAAUUUUGCCAUGGUGUCCAUCAUGCUGCUGCAGAAGGAGCCCUCUAUGGAGGGGGUGCUGAUGAAGGCACUGAGAGACAACCUGUGUGAGCUCCGCAACCGCUUCAUCAAGGAGAUGGAGGACUUCAUCCAGGAGUACGAUGAGUUGCACCCCAGCUGCUGA
ensembl:lncRNA uncharacterized LOC107324772